UUAUUCAAAGACAUGAUAUGCUAGUUCUUAAAUACCAAAAGUUACUGAGACCUUGCUUUUAAUGUUAGUAUUUCGCAGAAUAGGAAUAGACCAUUAUCCCCCCUUUAUACUCAAACGCUAAUUUUUUAUCCGAAAAUAGUAGUUUUCGGUUAUCCCCACCAACACCUCCAUUUUCUAUAUAAAACUAUCUAAAAUUGUUCUUAUUUCCAGAAACAACCCAAUUUUCAUCAAAAUACUAUUUUUUUUAUCCCCAUACUUGUACCUAUCCCUAUAAUAGCUAGUUCUUGCUUAUACCCGAACCAAACGGUACCUAAGAAACUAGCAAGUAAUGUGACCCAAUUGCUAGUAUCUAGCAAAAGUAAAUAUCUCUCUGUACGAAUGAACACUUAAAGAGGGUGUAAGCAAAUUUAAUUAGUAAAAUUGAUAACUUGGAAUUUUAAUAAACAAAAGCAUAAAAGGUAUGCAUCUCUCAAGAUGAUAAAUAAUUGCGUGUGAGAUAGCAAGUAAUCAAAUAUUAUAAGCAUAUAUUUGAGCCACUAAAACAAAUUUUCGCUACAACAAGGGUGCAUUUUCCCAG
rnacentral:lncRNA from 1 species